CCGCCCGCCGCCUCGAGGGUCUGUCCUGCCUGGGUGGGGACCCUGCCUGGUGGGACCCCUGCCUGGGUGGGGGCUGUCCUGCCUGGGUGAGGCGUCCAGAGAGGCCGGUAGCAAAAAUGCGCCGGUGCCCAGGCCCGCUCUAGGGUUUGCAAAAGGUAGUGCGGGACUCGGCGCGGACAGAGUAACAGUAACCAGCCUGCUGAUUACCAUCAGUCUUCAAAAUAGAGCGGUUUUUAAAAAUGGAAAACAAUGGUUUCUAGACUUAUUUUUAGCAAUAAACUUAAAAACCUUGCGAAAUUCAAUCCCGAUGGAGGACCGUAGAGAUUUGUGUCUUCCUGCUCUUUUGACUUUAAAGUGAAUUCCUCAGGCAUAUCGCUAAUCUAAAACUGAGUCGGAAUUUACAAAGACGUUCUUAGAAUCCCGUUGGUUGGUCUCCUUUUUUUCUGAGACACAUCUGAAUCACUCGGGGAUGACGGCGGCCAUUGCUUAUUAAGUAAGAUGCCCCUCCCCCCUUUUUUGAGUUAAGGGUUGUGCUUAAAAAAAGUCAACAUUUGAGUCACAGUUUUUUCCUGUGUAAAAUGAACAGACUUGAGCCAAAACAUUUGAGCAAACAAGUUGCUCAACGGCCUCGGACAAGGUAGGAGUUCAUGUAUUUCUCCCAGAGUGAGUGGCUGGGAAUCUCCAGUUGAUGUUGCCGCGGGCCUCAGCCUCUCUGAGCUCUCCUUUCUUGAGGAAGGUAAACGAGAGGACAAAAAAGCAAUUCAUCUUCCACAUGGACUUCAUCUUGAUAUUCCAAAUGGGCCAACCUCCUAAUGCCCAACUGAACCUCAUAUUGUUUAGUCUGCCGUGGCCCCUUUCCUUUCUAACUGAAAUAGGUAACUCAGGUGGAAGCAUUCAAAAGAUAGAUCUCAUCAAAUUUUCUGUUUCUCAUCUAAUCUGUUUGUUUUCCCCAACAUCUGAAGCUAGUUAUAGGUUUGAGGUUUUAUGGACUGAAAUUAUCCUAGGCUAACAACAUUUCAUGUAUUUUUAUUCUCUUUAAGUAGAUGCAACUAUUAAAUGAAUUCAUAAUAUA